CACAGAGUUAGCCGGUGCUUAUUCUGCAGGUAACGUCUAAUCUAAUGGGUAUUAACCAUUAGCCUCUCCUCCCUGCUUAAAGUGCUUUACAACCAAAAGGCCUUCUUCACACACGCGGCAUGGCUGGAUCAGGGUUGCCCCCAUUGUCCAAUAUUCCCCACUGCUGCCUCCCGUAGGAGUCCGGACCGUGUCUCAGUUCCGGUGUGACUGAUCAUCCUCUCAGACCAGUUACAGAUCGUCGCCUUGGUAGGCCUUUACCCCACCAACUAGCUAAUCUGAUUUAGGCUCAUCUAAUAGCAAGAGCUUGCGCCCCCUUUCACCCGUAGGUCGUAUGCGGUAUUAAUUCGAGUUUCCCCGAGCUAUCCCCCAUACUAGGCAGAUUCCUAAAUGUUACUCACCCGUCCGCCACUAAUCAUCUCUAGCAAGCUAGAGUUUCAUUCGUUCGACUUGCAUGUGUUAAGCCUGCCGCAGCGUUCAAUCUGAGCCAGGAUCAAACU
rnacentral:rRNA from 1 species